rnacentral:lncRNA from 1 species
ACCUUUCAGCAGCCCGUUGCUCGUGGAGGAGCUGGGUCCCAGCCAGCCACUCAGAGCUCUGGGUGCCGGUGCCGGCACGAGAGCCUGGACCAGAGAGUCCCAGCCUGUGAGGACAGCUCCGAGUCCGUCUGGGAGGAGACAGACUGAGUAUGGGCACGUCUGGUCCGACAGCCCCUCUCACUCCGCACCCACAGCAGCCCAUGGCAGCCCUUCACUGGCCUCCAAAGGGGAGAAGAGCCCCCGGCUAAUAGCAUCCCCCUGCCCCGACCAAGGGCUGCCCCCGGAGACGCUGGGAGAUCAGGGCUCAGCUUUGCAAGGGUUUGGUGCCACCACACAGCUGGCUAGUAGCCCUGAAAGCGCCCAGACACCCGCAGCUGGGGUUAGCGAUGGCUGCGUGGUGACGCAGGGCGGGACUGGUCCGGGAGAUCCUGAGAGGGAGGCUCCAGAGCUGCUGCAACAAGGAUCGGUGAUUCCCCGGGGACCGUCUGGAAGGGGCGUCACUCAUGCUGCGGCUAGCGGGGGCAGGGAGGGAAUCUGGCGGAGCUGGGAGCUGCAGGCUGGGCCAGCGGAGAGGGGAGCUCGCGGCCUGACACUGUGUCCUGACCCAGAGCCGGGCGUCUCCGAGAGUCGUGGGAUGCAGAGCAGCCUGAGCGCAGCUUGGGACGAGGUCUAUCUGGGGCCCUGCAAGUACAAGCACGUGGCUGGCGUCCCCGUCACCAGUUUCGACACCGUCACCAUCGACAGUGACCUGGACUCGGUGAGGACGGAGACAGUCCAGGUUCACCUCCGCAAGGCCAUCGGCCGCCGGAGAGCUCCGGGCCGCAGCACCAAGGGGCCCCGCUGCCCACGGAGAGACUCGUCGGGGUGCCUGGGCUCCAGCAGUGCAGUCACUGACGAAGAGGAGGAGGAGGAGGAAGAGGUCCUGUGGUCUCGUGGCAGCGCCGACUGGAGGAGCAGCAGCCCUGCGAGGUGGAGCUCAAUGCCAAGCAGGGCAGAGGCCAGCUGGGAGGGUACCAGGAAGGAAGCCUGCCUGGAGCACCAGGACCUGGGCGCUGAAGAGGAGAGGCUGUUGCAGAGGAAAUCCCAGCUACACGAGGCUGACUUGUCCCUGAGUGACAUCCGGGGUCAGAAAAAGCGCGCGGUCCAGGACCUGGAGUUGCUGCGUGGGGCCCUGGAGAGGAGCCAGAAGGAGGCGGAGAUGCUGGAGUCCUGCCUGAAGGAGACUCGGAGCAAAGCGGAUGAAGCCAGGGCGGACCUGCUGCUGCUGCAGUACAGGCGGGACUCGUGCCUGCGGGAGCUGCCGGAGCUGGAGAAGGAGCUGAGCACGCUGAGACGGCAGCGCUCCACCAUGCACAGCACCCAGCUGGGGGCCUUCCAGGCCGAGGUCGCCUCGCUAGCGGCCGAGCGGGAGGAGCUGAAGUCCCGUGUGCGUCACCUGGAGGGCAGCUUGUCCUUCCUGGAGCGCCAGGAGCUGGAGCGCCAGCUGAGCUGCUGCAAGGCAGAGUUGUUCUCUGAGCAGCGGGCAGCCAGAGCCAGGACCGAGGAGCUGCAGGAGUGCCUGGAGGAAGCUCAGAACAAGCUGGAGGAGAGGACGGCAGAGGGGACGGAGCUGCAGGAGGAGACCACGCGACUGAGACUGCAGCUCAGGGAGCUGGAGAGGAAACAGGCAGCAGCUCUGAGUGGGCAGAUCCGAGACCUCCGAGUGCGGGAGACGGAGCAGGAGCUGAGACGCUCUGCUCUGGAGAAGAUCGUGUCGGAGAAGGAGCUCGAGCUGGUGAGGCUGCGAGAGGUCGUCUGUGCCCUUACGGCUGAGAAGGAAGCGCAGCAACGUGCUAUGGAGAACCUGAGAGAAGAACAUGACAGGCAGCUGGGGAAGAUGCAGCAGGAGAAGGAGCUGGAGUGGGCCCAGCAGAGGGAGGAGCUGCAGUGUCUGAAGCAGCAGGAGCUCCAGGAGUUUGCAGAGAGUUUGGAGCAGGUGAAGGCCAGGGCCCUCCAGGAUCAAGCCGCCUCCUUCCAGAAGGAAGUGGAGAAUCUCACCAGGGUGAUCGAGGCCCGAGAUGAAGAGGUUCGGAGACAGCGGGAGGCCAUGCAGCGACAGAAGGAGUCUACCCAGCAGCUGGUCAGAGAGCUGAAGCAGGAAGCCAAGGAGAUGGUUCAGAGCGCUCUGCUUCAAGAGCAAAGGAAGUGGGAGGCUGAGAAGAGGGAAGCGCUCCAGGUGCAGCGUGGGACGCUGGAAGAGCAGAGUCAGAGAGCGCAUGCGGAGGCCCUGGACAAAGGGAAGAGGAUGGUGUCAGUUUUGCAGAAUAAAACCCUGGAGUACCAGAAGGUGGGUGUCUCCAUAAACCUUCCUCCUCCCACGCAGGGGCAGGCUGGCUACAGAAGUGGAGCCAGAGCUGCCAGGUUCUCGCCCCACUUGAGCCAAUGACUUGCUGUGUAGCCUUGGGCACAUCACUGCACCAGCCUUGCCUUCUGAGCUCUUUUGCAUGUCUACACUCCCCACUUUCCUAGCACCUGAGCACCUCACCGUUUUCAGUGUAAACACCCCCACGGGGCAGGGCUAGCUUCUCCAUUAUAUGGGGAAGUGAAGUGACUUGCCCAGGUCACACAGGAAGCCUGUGGAAGAGCAGGGAUUCAAACCCACGUCUCGCAGGUCCCAGGCUAGCGCCUGAGCUGCUGGGCCAUCCUUUCUCUGUGCUUGGGGGCCAGCACAUGUUAAUUGAUUGUUAACUAACUCAGCUGUGAAGGUUUGUUCCCGGACACAAGUGUUUGAUCCUGGUUGUGGUUCUCUCUAGGGCUCAGCAUUGCGUGAACCACCUCCAGCACCAAACCUUCGUGAAGAGAUGCUAGUUGCAUUUACAGUCAUGUGGGUUAACUCAUAUUAAUUUGCAAUCAACGUGUUACCACACAACCAGCAACCCUUGUCUAGACAGGGUCUUUGCCUCGGUUUUCCCAGCAGUAAAAUGGGGAUAAUAAUACUUCACCCACCUCUCGGAAGUGCUUUGAGAUCUUCUGCUGGAUGGUGCUGUCAGUGCAGAAUGCUAUCAUAUGUUUACAUGGUGAACCAAUGGUCUGGCUUGCUUCUAGUCCCACAGGCUUUAGCAAACCUGUGCAGAGCCACAUUGAAGGCAGAGGGGCCGAACCUCUCUUCCCAUUUCUUUGCGGCAGAGGCUCUGACUUCUAAGACACUUCACAGAGCUAGGAAAUGAAAUGGUCCCUGACUCUGCUGAUCUGGCACAAUCACCUUUUCCAGGGAGCUGCAAAGAGGUGCCAUGGUUCUGAUUCUUUUUGAAAGAGCCUGUAGCAUCAAAUAAUGGCUGGCAAAAUAUUCUGCGAUUUUCCGGUGGCUCCAGAGUGAUGGGGAGGUCCUGGCAGAGCUCAUGGGUGCAGGAUUACUACUGCUACUAAUUCUGUGAUGUAUCCAGGGU